UAGGCCAAGGCUGGCCCGCGUGCUGGG
rnacentral:piRNA from 1 species